GGGCGAUUAGCUCAGCUGGUAGAGCAGCUGACUCUUAAUCAGCGGGUCACAGGUUCGAAUCCUGUAUCGCCCA
rnacentral:tRNA from 1 species